rnacentral:tRNA from 1 species
ACGGGGUUAGUGUAACGGUAGCACAAGAGUCUCCAAAACUUUUAAUGAGAGUUCGAUUCUUUCACCCCGUG